UGCAGUCNNNNGUAACAUUUCUAGCUUGCUAGAAGANGACGAGUGGCGGACGGGUGAGCAAUGCUUGGGAACUUGCCUUUGCGAGGGGGAUAACAGUUGGAAACGACUGCUAAUACCGCAUAAUGUCUUUGGACCAAACGGGGCUUCGGCUCCGGCGCAAAGAGAGGCCCAAGUGAGAUUAGCUAGUUGGUAAGGUAACGGCUUACCAAGGCGACGACCUCUAGCUGUUCUGAGAGGAAGAUCAGCCACACUGGGACUGAGACACGGCCCAGACUCCUACGGGAGGCAGCAGUGGGGAAUAUUGCACAAUGGGGGAAACCCUGAUGCAGCCAUGCCGCGUGUGUGAAGAAGGCCUUCGGGUUGUAAAGCACUUUCAGUUGUGAGGAAAAGUUAGUAGUUAAUACCUGCUAGCCGUGACGUUAACAACAGAAGAAGCACCGGCUAACUCCGUGCCAGCAGCCGCGGUAAUACGGAGGGUGCGAGCGUUAAUCGGAAUUACUGGGCGUAAAGCGCACGCAGGCGGUUUGUUAAGCUAGAUGUGAAAGCCCCGGGCUCAACCUGGGAUGGUCAUUUAGAACUGGCAGACUAGAGUCUUGGAGAGGGGAGUGGAAUUCCAGGUGUAGCGGUGAAAUGCGUAGAUAUCUGGAGGAACAUCAGUGGCGAANGCGACUCCCUGGCCAAAGACUGACGCUCAUGUGCGAAAGUGUGGGUAGCGAACAGGAUUAGAUACCCUGGUAGUCCACACCGUAAACGCUGUCUACUAGCUGUGUGUGUCUUUAAGACGUGCGUAGCGAANCUAACGCGCUAAGUAGACCGCCUGGGGNGUACNNCCGCAAGGUU
rnacentral:rRNA from 1 species